rnacentral:rRNA from 1 species
GACGAACGCUGGCGGCGUGCUUAACACAUGCAAGUCGAACGGAAAGGCCCUGCUUUUGUGGGGUGCUCGAGUGGCGAACGGGUGAGUAACACGUGAGUAACCUGCCCUUGACUUUGGGGUAACUUCAGGAAACUGGGGCUAAUACCGAAUAGGAGCUCCUGCUGCAUGGUGGGGGUUGGAAAGUUUCGGCGGUUGGGGAUGGACUCGCGGCUUAUCAGCUUGUUGGUGGGGUAGUGGCUUACCAAGGCUUUGACGGGUAGCCGGCCUGAGAGGGUGACCGGCCACAUUGGGACUGAGAUACGGCCCAGACUCCUACGGGAGGCAGCAGUGGGGAAUAUUGCACAAUGGGCGGAAGCCUGAUGCAGCAACGCCGCGUGCGGGAUGACGGCCUUCGGGUUGUAAACCGCUUUCGCCUGUGACGAAGCGUGAGUGACGGUAAUGGGUAAAGAAGCACCGGCUAACUACGUG